UCUCUCUCAAAAGUAAAUAAACAUUAAAAAAUUAUUAAAAAAUAAACUGUGGCGCAAGGGUAAGAGAGGCAGCUAGUGAGAUGGGAGGGUAUGGAUCUCAAACUCACCCCACGUAUGUAGCUAAGGAAGGUGAACUGAGUCAUGAACCUUAUGGAGUGUCAGCGAAGUUCAAUCAGGGGAGUGACAUCAUGAGAUCUGCAUUUUAGGAAGCUCCUACUGGGAGCCCUGUUAAAGAUGAGUUGGAAGGGAGGCAGACACAGAGCAGAGAGCACUAUUUGAAAUUAUAGUAGGAACCCAGGUGAGACAAGAUGAAGGUCCAAAUUAAGGCAGUGCUUUAAUGAGGGAUGAGAGAAAAGCAGGCAGUCGGUGUUAGGCAGCAUCAUCUUCAGGAUUUAGAGACUGAUUAGGUGCAUGUGGAGGGUGAAUGGGCAGAAGGGGAGAAUCAAGGAUGAAUAAGAAGUUUCUAGCAUGGGUGGUUAGUGGGGACAUUCACUAAAUGAGGUAAUAUAAGGUCUGAUGUAGAAAUUAGUUCAAUUUUGAAUAAGUUGAGCUGGAAUUGAUGUGUGGAGUAUGUGUGAGUUAUCCAGAGAGUUCUACCCAAUAGACAUGGGGAUUUCCAAGAGAGAUCUUUGCCAGAGCUGUAGAUUAGUAGGCAUCAACUCAUAGCCAAUAAUGGUGUCCAACGACGCAUCCCUGAGAUACUAUUGAUCAGGGAAGUACAGAAGAGGAGACUGAAGGGGAAUGAAAGGAGUAGCCAAGAGGUAGGAGGAGAACCAGGGUUUGGUGGUAUCCUAGAAACCAAAAGCAGAGAGCACAGCAAAAGGGAAGGGAAAGCCAACAAACUCAACUAUUGUAAAGAGGUCAAUUAAGAUAAGAACGGGCAAGUGUCCAUGGGAUUUCACACUGCAGGGCAAUUGCAGAGAAGUAAUGAGAAAAGGCAGACCACAGUGAAAGAGUGGACACAUCAAAUAUAGAUUACACUUUCAAGAGCUUUGAUGUAAAGGUAAGAGAGAAGAUAAGUGGCAAGAGGUGUCAGUGAAGUUUUACUUUGUUCUGUUUUGGUUUGGAGCUGGUAGGGACUUGAGCACUUAAAAAAAUUCUAGAGGGGAAACAGGCCGCAGAGAGGAAGAUGAUGAAGCUAUACCACCUGCUGACUGCAGUGCCCCUCCAUGCCACCUUUGGUCAACACCUACUAAUCCUUCACCUCCCAACUUAUCUGCUACCUUCUCAGGGACUAACAUGCUACCAACUCUCCACUUCUCAGAUGGUUUUCUGCCACCUCCCUGUGGCAAUUUCAGGGUGGGUUAGUUUAGGACUACCUAAUAAAUCUGUGGAGCGCUGUGGCUCAAGUGGAGACAGAAAAGUUAAGACGCAUCUCCCUGGGGGAAUGGAAUGGACCUGGCAUUUGCUUCUCCAUCUGACUUCCUUACCUAUGACUAAGCCAAGGCAGGGGCUAGAGAUACCCUAGUCUUCCUACCUCACCCUCAGACCCCAGACAUAAAUGUCUUAUUCUAGAGAAUUCUGUGUAAUUAAUUAAUAGGCAAGAUUAUAAGGCUUUCUGGGGACUGGAUUACUUGUCAUCAUAUGUAUUUGUUACUCUUCCCCAGCUUCUAGGUGGGUAAGGAUAUAGUUAGAAAGUGACCCUUCAAAGGAGAUAUGUGCCCCUACCACACUGAAGUUUCUGGAGAGACCAUACAUUUUUCUAUGCUACCCCGGUGCCUCCCACAAAGUCUGGCACGUAGUACUCAAUAAAUGCUUCAUGAAAGAAUGAGCAAGCGAGUCUUCAGUUGGGAUGAAACAGGAUACUGUCAGGCACCAUUCAUUCUGGGAUGCGCUUGUAUUGGGUUCCCGAACCCUACUUUCAUUUCUUGGCGGGAGCCAACUCUCUCCCGUGGCCACACUUGGCAUGGUCCGUUGCUGAAUUUGGGUUGGGGUGGGGGCAGAAUUGGUAGCCCCCUCGCUCUCCGGUAUCUGUCCUCUGCUGAAGUCAGUACUUCUGAGGUAAUAUGGAAAAGGAAUGCUCCUCGUGGUGUAUUUGGCUGUGCGUGGGAGCAAGUUAUCAACCAAGCCUCGUGAUGAAGUGUUCUCAUUACACUUUUGGCUCUGUCUUGCAGACCUUGUACUUCAAGCAUCGGGCACUUACUCGGAUUGAUUCAAAAUGCCAAACCUUAAUGGUUUGGGAUGUCACUAAUUCUAAUCCAGAUAUGGGUGAGAGGCAGAUGGUGGGGACUGGUGAUUGUGGGAUCUAGAGCAAACCCUGCCCUCCCAGGAGAGGUAAUUUAGAAGCACUGGAGCUGACAGUUGCUAGCUGUUGGCCAACUCGGCACUGUGACGAGCGCCUGUGCUAUCCUUUGAUGGCAGAUUGCUCCACACAGAGCAGUCUCCUCCCCAUUAAGAUACCCAAGCCCUCUGGCAGUCCCUUCACACUGAAGGUUAGAGUCUCAGGGGAAAAAGAAAAAAAGCCAAGUACCAGAUUUCUUCUCACCUUCUGCGUGCUGGUGCAAAUCUCUUCAGUAUCACACCACCGUCCUAGCAACGGUGACACAGAGGUGGACUCUCACUUCCCAAUUCUCUGCCUCCCAUGAUAGGGAAGGGAAGUCAGAGUCUCCUAUGUAAUCAUUCGACUCUCAGUGGAACGUCACCCAGCCAUGGAGACGGAGGGACCAGAGACUUGAGGGAGAGACUGGGCCUGCGGAAGAACGUGGCCAAGCUUGUGGUGCCUGUGUGGGGAACCAGCUGGUCAAGCCCCGUUUUCUACCCGGUCUCUUGGGAGAGCAUUGCCUGUGAUUUUCCUACCAGCGUACUGAUAGUUAUUCCUUGCUGACUCAACAGAUGUGCUGAGCGCUCUGUUAAAUACUUCAUUAUCUUAUCACGACUCUAGAAAUUAUUAUCCCCAUUUGAUCGAUGAGGAAACUAAGCGUUAUUGAGGGCAAGUAACUGGUCCAAUGUCGAUAACAGUAUGUGGAAGAGCCAGAAUGUGAACCCGGCUCCCUUCGAGAUGGAAGAGGUACUCAGUCGCUACUGUGCAUACGAGUAGCGUGAAGUGUCAAGGCCAGUGCUCUUCUCCGCUGUUUUCUACAGCUCCGGUCUCUUUCAGCACUGCCAUUUCUACCUCCUUCCUACCCACAUGCCUUCAGAUAUAUUAAGAUAAGACCUGGGGAGAUUUAUUGUAGUCAAGCAGGGCCUUGGAGAGAGGGGUCAGAUAGGAUAUAGAGAGAGAGGGUGAUAUGAAUUAAAAGUCUAGCUUUAUCAUUGCCCACCAUUUCAAAAACCAAAACCAACUUGAGGACGAAGAAUGUACAUGAGACCAGAGAAAAUCCAGCUGCAAACUCCUUCAGCUCGUCAAGUCCUGUUCAGAGCUAGCCUCAUGUUCAGUGAUGGUCUUUACUCUGUGUAACAGGACGACAGCCACCCCUGGGUUCCUGUGUGUGCAAUGCACUCACGCAAUUGAUUCAUCCAUCGGUUUCCAUUGAUGACCUAUGGACAAAGUGCUGUACAAGAUAAAAAGACACAUAAGACAUGGGCUCUGUCCUUCAGGAGUUCACAAGGCAGGAACCGGACAAAUGUUUGAGGCUCUUUCUUGACUUCCAACAAAGAGACGUUCUUCAAGG